UACAGAGGGUGCAAGCGUUAAUCGGAAUUACUGGGCGUAAAGCGUGCGCAGACGGUUGCGUAAGUCAGAUGUGAAAGCCCCGGGCUCAACCUGGGAAUUGCAUUUGAGACUGCGUAGCUAGGGUGCGGAAGAGGGAAGCGGAAUUUCCGGUGUAGGCGGUGAAAUGCGUAGAUAUCGGAAGGAACACCAGUGGCGAAAGCGGCUUCCUGGUCCAGCACCGACGUCAGGCACGAAAGCGUGGGGAGCAAACAGG
rnacentral:rRNA from 1 species